ensembl:misc_RNA Metazoa_SRP Metazoan signal recognition particle RNA
GCCAGGUGUGGUGGUGUGCACCUGUGGUCCCUGCUACUCAGGAGGCUGAGGUGGGAGGAUCGCUUGAGCCUGGGAGGCAGAGGGUGCAGUGAGCUGAGAUUGAGCCACUGCACUCUAGCCUGAGCAACACAGUGAGACCCCAUCUAAA